rnacentral:lncRNA from 1 species
UUUGGGUGCUUCAGGGUGUGUUGGCCCCUGUUUGGGUGUGAACUCAAGGCAAACCGUGGUGCUUGAGUCGUGGACGGCCCUGCUGACAUAGAUGACACCGAUGAUGUCUGCUGAUGGAAGAGUCAAGCAAGCAACAGUGGCUGUUUUGGUCUUGAGUGUCCAGACUCAUAUAGGUUGGAUUUUGGCCAGUUGGAAUCAGGCUCUUGGAGUUUUGCAUGGGAAUUAAUGUAAUGCUUAUAAAUCACUCAACAAUCUCAAGUCAAACACAAAAAUAAAAGAGAAACAUACUGGCCUUGG